rnacentral:rRNA from 1 species
UACAUGGGGUGCAAACGUUGCUCGGAAUUAUUGGGCGUAAAGCGCGCGUAGGCGGUUACUUAUGUCGGAUGUGAAAGCCCUCGGCUUAACUGAGGAAGUGCAUUCGAAACUGGGUAGCUAGAGUACUAAAGAGGGUCGCGGAAUUCCCGGUGUAGAGGUGAAAUUCGUAGAUAUCGGGAGGAACACCGGUGACGAAGGCGGCGACCUGGGUAGAUACUGACGCUGAGGCGCGAAAGCGUGGGGAGCAAACAGG